rfam:Tupaia chinensis contig90220, whole genome shotgun sequence.
GUGUUCGCUUAGGCAACAAAUGUACUAAAAUUGGAAGGCUAUAGAGAAGAUUAGCAUGGCUCUCACAAGGAUGACACGCAAAUUCGUGAAGUAUUCCAUAUUUUU